GGAAUUAGCAACAAGAUUGAAGGGGGGAUAUGGAAAUGCAUGGAGCUCAUUCUGAAGGAAAUCAGAGGUUGGAGGAGGAUGAGACGUUUGGGUGAGGAGGCAAGAAAGAGAACCAGAAUUGGAUAAUUGGUGCAUAUGUGCAUAAAUAAAGGUGACAUGCUUCAGAGUAAUGUGUGCUUGUGAGCUGGAUGAAAGAGAAGAGCUUGGAAGGAUGAGGGAAAAGGAAGAAUUCCACACCAAGAAUAAAGCGGCACACAGAUAAGUUCAUCUAUUUGCAGGACGGAUGUAAAGCGUAAACGGAAGGGAGCACAGUACGGAGCUUUGAGGUUUGCCUUGGUUGACAGUUGCUAUGGAAGGGAGUUUGGUGGUAGGUCUUAUUGUAAGUAGCGCAGGCAUGGAAAGUGUCGGGAGAGCUGAGAGUUGGACGUGGUGGUUUGGUUCAGUGGUUGUUGCGAAGGAAGGAAGGUUGAGAUGGUCCGCAGGUUGUUAGGCUUGUCUCUGUCCCGAGCAGCUCUUUGUUUUGAGUUGUUUACAGUGCAGGCUUGGAAUGAGCAAUUUAUCAUCUUGAUCAACACAAAACUGAAUAGUGGUAUUUUAUUCAAGGUGAAAACCAACAAUUGUACACAA